rnacentral:other from 1 species
AGAAGGCUGCGCUGCGCGUGAGCCCCCUCGUAUUUCAGAACCUACGAGACAGCUUCGGGAAUCCAAUAUGGCGUGUGGCCAACGGGCCGGGCCUAGACCCGGAAGUUGAAAGCCGCCGUGCGGACAACCACCCUUUUGGGUGGGUUCUCGAAAUCAGUGGGUAACGGCAGGGCAGUCUUGUA